rnacentral:rRNA from 1 species
AUUGAACGCUGGCGGCAGGCCUAACACAUGCAAGUCGAGCGAGCGGCGGACGGGUGCGUAAUGUAUGGGGACUGCCCGAUAGAGGGGGAUAACUACUGGAAACGGUAGCUAAUACCGCAUUCUAUCGGAUAACACAUAUGGGAUUAGCUAGUAGGUCGGGUAAUGGCUCACCUAGGCGACGAUCCCUAGCUGGUCUGAGAGGAUGAUCAGCCACACUGGGACUGAGACACGGCCCAGACUCCUACGGAGGCAGCAGUGGGGAAUAUUGCACAAUGGGCGAAAGCCUGACGCAGCCAUGCCGCGUGUAUGAAGAAGGCCCUAGGGUUGUAAAGUACUUUCAGUCGGGAGGCGUUACCGACAGAAGAAGCACCGGCUAACUCCGUGCCAGCCGCCGCGGUAAUUC